rnacentral:lncRNA from 10 species
UAUCUACUCCCUCACACAAAUUGUUUCAAUUUGGAAAAACUGUACUGGCUAGCUAUUGCUUAUAUUGAUCUUAAAUUUACUUCCUAGAGAUAUCUUAGAUCCUAGAUUCAAAUAAAGUAAAAGCAGAAGAAAGAGCAGCUGAAGCUACACAGUAUGAUGUUAUGUGAUAGAUCUGUAUCCUUAUGUUUUGCAGAGAAAAGAACACAAACAAAAUGAGAAAAUAAAAAAAGAAGACACCCAGAAGGGUGAUUACAGCCAACAAUGAUUUACUGUACAUUUCAAAAUAAUGAAAAGACUGUAACUGAGCUGGGCACUGUGGCUCAUUCCUGUAAUCCAGCACUUUGGGAAGCUGAGGCUGGAGAAUCACUUGAGGUAAGGAGUUUGAGACCAGGCUGGCCAACGUGGUGAAACCCCGUCUCUACUAAAAAUACAAAAAGCCGAUUGUGGUGGUACAUGCCUGUAGUUGCAGCUAUUUGAGAGGCUGAGGCUGAAGGAUCGCUUGAACCUAGGAGACGGAGGUUACAGUGAGCCGAGUUUGCACCACUGCACUUCAGCCUGGGUGACAGAACAAGACUCCAUCUCAAAAAAAAAAAAAAAAAAAAGUACAACUGGAUUGUUUAUAGCAUGAAGAAAGGAUAAGUGCUUGAGAUGAUGGAAUUAUGCACACUCCACUUACUCUUAUGUGAUUAUUACGCAUUGUAUGCCUGUAUCAAAACACUCACGUACUCCAUCAAUAUAUCUAUGUAUCCAUACGAGUUAAAAAUUUAAAAAAAUGUUUUAAGAGAACUGUUUCCAUGUUCAAAACAUGUGCUUAAUUCUAAGAAUUCUAAGAGGUGAGGUUCCUAUUUUAUGAGAGAAGAAUUCAAUGAACACAAUGUGUACAUGCACCUCCUAAGUGCAUGGAGAUAUAACGAAAAUAUAAUAGAUGUCAUUAAUAUUAAUAUAUAAUUAGUUGGAACUACUUUUUUUCCCAAAAAAAU